AAGACUAUAGACCUGCGGAGUACCUGCGGAGGGAUCAUUAUAGAAUCACAAUUAUUUGAGAGUUGUCGUUUCUUUCCUGGGUUGUUUCUCGAGAGGGAGAUGAUUUGGGGGAGAGAGGAUGGCUCUCAUUUACAAACAAACGAUCACAACUAUUAUGCUGUGCUGUGCUGCUUUUCGCUGUGGUGAUGAGCGCGCUUGUGCAUGCAGAACCACAUUGGAGGGGGUUGUCUGGUUUCUGAC
rnacentral:misc_RNA from 1 species